rnacentral:rRNA from 1 species
GACGAAGGAUGCAAGCGUUAUCCGGAUUCAUUGGGUUUAAAGGGAGCGUAGGUGGCCUUGUAAGUCAGUGGUGAAAUCCUGUCGCUUAACGAUAGAAUUGCCAUUGAUACUGCAGGGCUUGAGUACAGUUGCCGUUGGCGGAAUAUGACAUGUAGUGGUGAAAUACAUAGAUACCAUAAAGAACACCUAUUGCGAAGGCAGCUUACUAGGCUGUAACUGACGCUGAGGCACGAAAGUGUGGGGAUCAAACAGG